AUUGAACGCUGGCGGCAGGCCUAACACAUGCAAGUCGAACGAGUGGCGGACGGGUGAGUAAUGUCUGGGAAACUGCCUGAUGGAGGGGGAUAACUACUGGAAACGGUAGAUAACAACGCAUACCAGCAGAUGUGCCCAGAUGGGAUUAGUUAGUUGGUGGGGUAACGGCUCACCAAGGCGACGAUCCCUAGCUGGUCUUAUAGGAUGACCAGCCACACUGGAACUGAGACACGGUCCAGACUCCUACGGGAGGCAGCAGUGGUGAUUAUUGCACAUGGGGCGCAAGCCUGAUGCAGCCAUGCCGCGUGUAUUAAGAAGGCGUUCGGGUUGUAACGUACUUUCAGCGGGUCGGCGUUACACGCAGACGAAGCACCGGCUAACUCCGUGCCAGCAGCCGCGGUAAUAC
rnacentral:rRNA from 1 species